GGCGGCCCAGGUUGUUGAGGCUCGCUCCCGACUGUCCCCACUGUCGAGACUCCGGGGUUGGGACGUUAUACUUUUGACAUUUCUGACCUGGAAGCCUCGCCUCCCUCCUAAUAUUAAUUUUCAGAUGCUCAGUCUUCUGACUAUGCCCAUUGCACCACUGAGGUGAAAGUUGCAUCACAUCAGGAAUCCUGGAGAAGAAAAAGGGAAACAUGAGAAAUGACCUGUGUUCCUUGGAGAGACUGUCAUCUACCAGUUCUGAGACCUUUUUCAUUGAAUGCAGGUAAACAAUGGUCCCUGUGUGAAGAAUGACCUAGAAGAGAGUCAAAGUAGGCGCUUAGAUGAUGAAGUCACCACGUGGAUGUCGUGAAGCAUUUCUGAGGAAGAAUUCCCUCAAUUCAUCUGCCAGUUCUGCAUGGAGAGAUGACAGAGAGGAGGUGCUGUGUGAGAAGGAUCAGUGAGAAGCACCUGUGCUUAGAAGAAAAAAAAGGAGAGAGAAAGGAGGCCAACGUUUGCAGACACCAGGUGCUCAGCACUUUCCUCACCAUGUGUGCUCGUUGUGUGCCAGCCAAGGGUGUCAUAGCCGCUAAUCAAACAUGAGUUUCAAGGCAGGUCCCAGGGAAAGUCCCACGAGGACGCAGUCGUCACCCCUGUAGCAGUGGGCAGACGAACUGAAUGAAGCUGUACAUGGAUCUUUGCACUGUGAUCUUUCAGUGUAUUCCUUGACAAACAGGUUUGAAAGGAACGACAACAAUGAUGCAAGGAAGGAGCACAAAGAGACUUCUUGGGGGAACAUGGGAAAUCUUACCUGAAACUUGACUGGACUCUGCAGCAGAGGAAGAGGCCACUCAGAAGAACAAUCACGCGAGACUAGAUCGCUGUGUGCAGCAAGUCCCUGCAGUCCUGUGAUCCAACUGGAGGAAUCUCAUGGUCUGAACUUGUCCAGCUUUAUUUUGAUGUCUAUCAUUAACAAAUCAGCCUUCCAUUCAUUAGAUCAAGGAAACCUGCUUACUCUUUGUAGUUACUGAUUUAAGUAUUUACUCAUUUGUGUUUGUUUCAAACAGACAUAUCAGUGCUUUAUAGAACAUUAGGGUUAAUAAGUAACUUUGGGGCUUUCACAGCACUGACUGAAGAAAAUAUGACAUACUAGAAUUUUUUUUGUGAGGAUGGAGUUGGAGGGAUGAAUGGAAGAGAGGGAACUGAGAGUAGCAGAAAAAGAGAAGUUAUAUUUCUCCAAAAAGACUCUGCCCGUGCCACAUGACACUGUGGGGCAGCUGUGCCUUGGUUGUCCACUGGAUGUUCAGACUGAGGUAAGGUGAGGCAGAAGUUGGUACACUAUGGCCUGAGGGCUGAAUCCAGGCUGCUGUCCAUUUUUGUAAAUAAAGUUUUAUUGGAACAUA